ACCGAAGAAAAGUAUGGAAUUCCCUAACAUCAUGAUUAAUGAUGAAGGGUUUACUCCCUUUUUUAUUGGACACAUUCAAGAUACAGUUAAAUCAUCAAUAAGAAGAAAAGAAAAUUGGAGAGAUAAAAUAUUUUGAAUCAACGACCAAAAAAACCUAUAUUGAAAAAUCGAAGUGCUGGCAUACAUGAUACCUAAUAUCCACAAAGGACCAUUAUGUACAGAAAGAACAUCAAAAGCAAUCUGCCGAUCUAUAUGAUAAAAAUUAAUCUACCAAGAACCUUUCUCCACACUAUAAUAAUGCCGUCUGAUAAUCCAAUCACAUGAAUCAUAUACAAAUCCCAGGC
rnacentral:lncRNA from 1 species